rnacentral:rRNA from 1 species
CCCUUAGAUGUUCUGGGCCGCACGCGCGCUACACUGAUGCAUUCAACGAGUCUAAAACCUGCUCUGAUAGGGGUGGGUAAUCUUUUGAACGUGCAUCGUGAUUGGGAUAGAUGAUUGCAAUUUUUCAUCUUCAACGAGGAAUGCCUAGUAAACGCAAGUCAUCAGCUUGCAUUGAUUACGUCCCUGCCCUUUGUACACACCGCCCGUCGCUCCUACCGAUUGAAUGAUCCGAUGAAUAUCAUGGAUUGAGGAUUAUAGCAGGUUCGCCUGUCUUGAUCUUCGAGAAGUGAAGUAAAUCUUAUCAUUUAGAGGAAGGAGAAGUCGUAACA